UACGAAGGGGGCUAGCGUUGUUCGGAAUCACUGGGCGUAAAGGGCGCGUAGGCGGCUUUAUAAGUCGGGGGUGAAAUCCUGGAGCUCAACUCCAGAACUGCCUUCGAUACUGAGGAUCUCGAGUCCGGGAGAGGUGAGUGGAACUGCGAGUGUAGAGGUGAAAUUCGUAGAUAUUCGCAAGAACACCAGUGGCGAAGGCGGCUCACUGGCCCGGUACUGACGCUGAGGUGCGAAAGCGUGGGGAGCAAACAGG
rnacentral:rRNA from 1 species